UCUGGCGGCGGCCUCCCUGGGGGAUUUGCCGCGCAGGGCGGGCGACGCGCACUGCCCCGGCCGGCCAGCCGGCCGCCGCCGCUGCCGCUCUUCCUCCCUCCAGCUCGCUUGCCCGGGUCGCCUACCCUCUCCGCCCUUCCCGCCUCCGGGAGCUCAGCACACAGCUCAGGGGCAGCCCAGGCGUUUUGAUGUCGCCCCUUCCUCCUCCCCUUCCCCCUCCUUAGGCUUGGAGGCUGCUGAAGGCCUGGCACACAUUUCUCAGACACUUCAUUCCUUCCUUCCUCCCAGUUCCCCACUGAGAUAAUGUUGUAAAUGAUUUCACCAGAUCUCCCCCCGGACGAGAUUCAGUGGUUCCUGAUUCUGGGUGACCUUGUGCAAGCCGCCCUCUUUCUUUCGUUAUGAAACGCCACACUAUGCCAGACUAUGUUAUACUCUGGGAUUACCACGUUGAGAGAUACAGUGGCAGCCUACAAGGAGUUUCCAGUCAAUUCUGACGGCAAACAGACCCUGAUUUUCUGAUUGAUGACUACGUAUUCCUCUCCUAUUCCCUUCUCUUAGGGCUUAGAUGAUGAUGUACAGAGAGAUCAGAAAUCUAAAGAAAACACUGAAGCAUACCUGUAUGGGCAACAAUUGGCCUACUUGGUGAAUACAGUGAUCAGUAAGAUAGUUAUUGCCCUCAGGAAGCCCACAGACUAGAGAUGCUAUACUCGUAAGUGCAGCUAACAUCUAUCUCUCAGUAUGUUCCUCUGGUAUCUUCUAGGUUCAAUAGAGACAUGUGUCUGGAUAGAAUUAAAAUGCUGGGAAGGUUUAGGAUAAUUAAAUUACUCAUAAGUUGGGAUACCCUGGAAAACUUCCCGGAGGAAGUUGUCCGUGCUUUGUAUCUUACAAAAAUAGGGCUUGAGGCAUUGGAAAUGUCAAGGAGCUGGGGAGCAUGAGAGUACCUAUGGCCUUAACGGUAUAGACUGUGGAACUUGAGGUUCUCAUUCAGGGACAUGAUUUGGAGACCAGGGUGUGUGGCUAGCAGGAGUAUAAGAAGGGACUGAAGGAGGAGGCUUGAAGCCAUGUCACAAGAUUCUUAGACAUUUUGCUAAAGGACUUUGGACUUAACUUUAGACAAUGGAGAGCUAUGAAAUGCUCUUGAGCAGAGAAGGGAUACUAGAGUUGUGUAGAAGGAUGGCUCUGGCAAAAAUGUGGAGAGUGAGUUGCAGGGUUUGGAGUCAGCCUACUUAUGAGGUUCAAGCCUGUAAAGGAGGUUCCUAAGUGCCAGGUGUAGGCUAAUACCCGGAAGCACCUGCCCAGAACCAGCUCACGUGGGCAUUGACUGCACACUGUCCAAUGAUCCAAGUUCAGCAGAAACCUGCUUAUUCUUUCAUGCAAUGUAUCUCCACAACUUGGAGUCCAAAGAAUUAUUGUGACUUUGACCAUAUGUACCUUCCAAGUCUCAUUUACACCUUCCAGGACAGCCCUGAAGUCUGCAGCCAAAUCUUAGCUCAUUGCAGGCUUGAUUUACUCACUCUUGCCCCUUGGGUUCCUCUCUGGGAGUGUGUGUGUGUGUGUGUGUGUGUGUGUGUGUGUGUUAACACACUGCGUGGGCCGUACUCUAUCAUGUUCUGAAGAGACAAUGAACAACGCCUCCUUUGUUGACCUGCAGCCUGGGCCAAUGGGAUUCCCUGCAGCCUGCCAGAGACAUGGUCUCUACCCUGCCAAGAGCUAUCCUGGGAGAGCUAUUGAAAGAGUCCUUGAAUAAGAGUCCAUAUAUGUUCGUCACAGCAGAAUUCAUAACUGAGACUUCCUACCUGAAGGUCCAUGGAUGAACUCCUGGAGAGCCUAUAGAGCUCAUGGAAUGGAAUUCAAAAUGUGUCUCUUUGAAUACUUUUUGAAAGAAUGAACAAAUGAGUAAUUUUUUUUUCCUGAAGAGAAGGUCCAUAGCUUUCAACAAGAGUUUCAAAGCAUUUUGUGACCCCAAAAGAUUGAGGGGACUGAGGCAGGCGGUCUCUACUGACAAGGGGGUUCUGAGCUUCAGAGAGGGCAAAGGUCUGGCACAAAGGUCUACAGCACCUUAAACCAGAAGCCAGCUGGGGCUCUUUCCAUCACACCACAGCACUGUGGUCCCAGGUAAGAUUAGACUAGGGUUUAUAGAGCUGUCACCACCAUAACCUGGAUGAAAA